rnacentral:rRNA from 1 species
UACGGAGGGUGCGAGCGUUGUCCGGAAUCACUGGGCGUAAAGGCGCGUAGGCGGCCUGAUAAGUAGGGGUGAAAUCUUGCGGCUUAACCGCAAGGCUGCCUUCUAAACUGUCAGGCUAGAGCACAGUAGAGGCAGGUGGAAUUCCCGGUGUAGCGGUGGAAUGCGUAGAGAUCGGGAAGAACAUCAGUGGCGAAGGCGGCCUGCUGGGCUGUUGCUGACGCUGAGGCGCGACAGCGUGGGG